GGUCUCAGUUCAGAUUGUAGGCUGCAACCCGCCUGCAUGAAGUCGGAAUUGCUAGCAAUCGCGGAUCAGCAUGCCGCGGUGAAUACGUUCCCGGGCCUUGUACACACCGCCCGUCACACCAUGGGAGCCGGUAAUACCCGAAGUCAGUAGUCCAACCUCGUGAGGACGCUGCCGAAGGUAGGAUUGGCGACUGGGGUGAAGUCGUAACAAGGUAAC
rnacentral:rRNA from 1 species